rfam:Macaca mulatta chromosome 17, whole genome shotgun sequence.
AAAUCGGCUCUGAGCAGCUCUGAUCUAUUCAUGAAAAUUUCACACCUGAAUUUUCACAUUUUUUGCAUGAUUACUAUAUUACGGAAAUAGUAAAAAACAUGAGGAAAUUUCCUUAUACUUACAGGCAGAAG